AAGGCUAUACUUUCAGGGAUCAUUUCUAUAGUGUGUUACUAGAGAAGUUUCUUUGAACGUGUAGAGCACCGAAAACCCCGAGGAAGAGAGGUAGCGUUUUCUCCUGAGCGUGAAGCCGGCUUUCUGGCGUUGCUUGGCUGCAACUGCCGUCAGCCAUUGAUGAUCGUUCUUCUCUCCGUAUUGGGGAGUGAGAGGGAGAGAACGCGGUCUGAGUGGUUUUUCCUUCUUGAUGGCUCAAUGACAGAGACUAGCUCGUAAACUCCGGGCCGUUUCCGGGCUGUUCGCUCCUGCUUGGCAAUGUCGCGAGAAAGGUUUUCGCCUCCUGUUUCAGCGGUGACGGCUCUUGGGUUUUCUCGGGGUGGCUUUUUAAUUUUAGUCUUGGCGCGAGGCGGGGGAUGCUGUGUGGCACCUCCUAUUGUCUCUUUUUGCGUUUUCUCCCAUUCUCGCUCCCUCUUUUGUCGCCGUUUCCCGCCCGCCACUCCCACCCCCAGACGGGGUCUCCGGGUCUCUUGUUCUGUCUGCCGGCCCCGGCUGGAGUGCAGUGGCGCGAUCUCGGCUCCUAGCAACAACUGCCUCCCGGGCUCAAGCGAGUCUCCCGCCUAAGCCCUCCCGAGUAGCCGGGGCUUAAAGGCGCACA
rnacentral:lncRNA from 10 species